rnacentral:misc_RNA from 1 species
GCAGUGCCUACUUAUAGCCAACCCAUUGUCUAUCCUCUCCCCAGCUAAGGCUUGUAGAUAUUUCUCAGUCUUCAAGAAAUUUUCAACGUGAGCUCUGCUUGUCGCUGCAAUUCAUCCCCUUUAUAAUUUCAGUAACACCAACUUGAUAAGUCUCCAAAUCUCUCCCUACUCUUGCAAUUCUUUAAGAUCUUUUCAUUCCAUCUUUGGUGGGUUUUUCAUAGGAAGAGAAAAAGAUGGGAGAAGAAGAGAACACUAGUGUCAAGAACUCCCUGAUGGUCUCUGAAUCAUCAUAUAAAGAAGAAGAGUUGCAGUUGAUUCCAGGCCUACCAGAUGAAAUAGCCAUGGAGUGUCUUGUCAGAGUGCCUUAUCAAUUCCAUUCUAAUAUGAAAUCAGUUUGCCAUACUUGGCAAAACUUGAUUUCCCAUCCUUAUUUCUAUCAACAAAGGCGCAAAUCUGGCAUUUCGGAGCAUCUUGUGUGUCUUGUGCAGCCUCUCCCCCAGUCGGAUUCCAUCGACUCGCUCACUACUGCGACCGCCACUGCUGCUGUAACCAAUAAGGAAGACAAACAGAUCCAGAGCCCACCUCAGUUUGCACUGAGCAUCUACAACGCAACCCAUGAUAUUUGGCAAAGGACAAGGCCUCAGGGAGGAAUACCCAUGUUCUGCCAGUGUUUGGCGCUUCCAUCAUCACGGAAAGUACUCCUUUUGGGCGGUUGGGAUCCCACCACUCUAGAACCUGUCCCGGAUGUGUACAUCUUGGAUCUCACCGGAGUUGGUGGCUGCAGGUGGAGACGUGGGGCGUCAAUGUCUGUGUCACGCUCUUUCUUUGCUUGUGCCUUGGUUGGACCGUCCAAGGUUUUUGUUGCCGGAGGCCACGACGGUCAGAAGAACGCCUUACGAUCGGCAGAGGUUUAUGAUGUUGAUAAAAACGAAUGGAUAAAGCUACCCGAUAUGAUUGAAGAGAGGGACGAAGGUCAGGGGCUAGCCUGGGAGGGUGAUUCCAGGUUCUGGGUUGUGAGCGGUUAUGGCACAGAUAGCCAAGGGCAGUUCAGGUUUGAUGCCGAGUGCUAUGACCCAGAUACAGGGUCUUGGUCCAAGGUUGAUGGGGUUUGGCCCUUUUCAAAUACUAGCCCCAGAGGAGCCACUGCUACAGUUAGUAUCAAUAGAAAUCAAAACCAAUGGUGGUGGUUCUUGGGAGGCGAGCAACACCAAUUACAGCAGCAGCGAAGAAUCGGUGGAGAAGUGAAGGAAAAUGAGAACAUGAGGUGGGAAAUAGUGAAUUCAAUUCUACUUCCAGAUUGUAUAACUGGAACAAAUCCUUGUAUGAUCAGCCUUGGAGAAGGUGCCCAAGAGAUAAAGAGGAAUGAUAAGGUUUUUAAUAAGCAUAGAGUGUUUGCGAUGAGUGGCAGUGGCAGGAGAUCACCAUCUUCGUGUAUUGAAUGCGAUUGCCAAGGAGCAUUCAUCUUGGAAAGGGAUUGCAAUAAUGGCAGUACCAAGUGGGAUCAUAUCCACACUCCCUCAGGAUUUUCUGGGUUUCCAUUCUCAGCUUGUUAUCUUACCAUCUGAGCUUAAACGACUGCUAGUGUGCUUUAAUUAGCAUGUAACGUGCGCGUUGACGCUUAUGCUUUUGUGGAUUUUGGGCCUUAAAUAGCUUUCCCGAGAGACCUUUUUGAUAUCUUUUAGGUAGUUUGGAGUAUUGAACCCAUGUGAAGCUUUUCUUAUGGUUUGCUGCAAUGUUUAUUUUGCUAAUCAAAUAGAUGAGGCACAAACCAUAGUAUUACACAAUACAAGGACAAUACAACAAAGUCUUCUAUAUGGAUCUUUAGCUCUGUAUCAAUAUGUGUACAUUUCAACCUUUAUAUCUUAAGAAUCAUAUUAUGAUGACUAUCAACCUCCUCUAUUCGGCUUCAUUUAAGAUUAGAGAAUAUGGAGUGGGUCAGAAUAUGUUUCCUAACUCACAAUGUCCCAUUAAAUAAUGGAAACUCAAAAGCUUGUUUGUCUUUGACAAAACAUCCCUCAAAGAAGGAUCUACUAGUAAAUCAACAUGUAAUGCAGUUAAGUGGGCGGACUUACUUUCCUCGGUUUUGGCUAUUGAAGGAUGCAAAUAAAAUUGAUAUGGUGGAG